rnacentral:rRNA from 1 species
AUUGGAUCCAGACUUUGAUUCUGGCUCAGGAUGAACGCUAGCUACAGGCUUAACACAUGCAAGUCGAGGGGAAACGAUAGAGAAAGCUUGCUUUUUCUAGGCCUCGACCGACGCACGGGUGAGUAACGCGUAUCCAACCUGCCCAUCACUUGGGGAUAACCUUGCGAAAGUAAGACUAAUACCCAAUGAUAUCUCUAGAAGACAUCUAGAAGGAGAUUAAAGAUUUAUCGGUGAUGGAUGGGGAUGCGUCUGAUUAGCUUGUUGGCGGGGUAACGGCCCACCAAGGCGACGAUCAGUAGGGGUUCUGAGAGGAAGGUCCCCCACAUUGGAACUGAGACACGGUCCAAACUCCUACGGGAGGCAGCAGUGAGGAAUAUUGGUCAAUGGGCGAGAGCCUGAACCAGCCAAGUAGCGUGCAGGAUGACGGCCCUAUGGGUUGUAAACUGCUUUUAUAAGGGAAUAAAGUGGGAGUCGUGAGACUUUUUGCAUGUACCUUAUGAAUAAGGACCGGCUAAUUCCGUGCCAGCAGCCGCGGUAAUACGGAAGGUCCGGGCGUUAUCCGGAUUUAUUGGGUUUAAAGGGAGCGUAGGCCGGAGAUUAAGCGUGUUGUGAAAUGUAGACGCUCAACGUCUGCACUGCAGCGCGAACUGGUUUCCUUGAGUACGCACAAAGUGGGCGGAAUUCGUGGUGUAGCGGUGAAAUGCUUAGAUAUCACGAAGAACUCCGAUUGCGAAGGCAGCUCACUGGAGCGCAACUGACGCUGAAGCUCGAAAGUGCGGGUAUCGAACAGGAUUAGAUACCCUGGUAGUCCGCACGGUAAACGAUGGAUGCCCGCUGUUGGUCUGAAUAGGUCAGCGGCCAAGCGAAAGCAUUAAGCAUCCCACCUGGGGAGUACGCCGGCAACGGUGCAACUCAAAGGAAUUG